AUAUAGGUCAAGCUACAAAGGGCGCAUGGUGAAUGCCUUGGCAUCAGGAGCCGAUGAAGGACGUGAUAAGCUGCGAUAAGCUUCGGGUAGGCGCACAUAGCCUGAGAUCCGAAGAUCUCCGAAUGAGGAAACUCACAUGGGAAACCCCAUGUAUCAUUAAGUGAAUACAUAGCUUAAUGAAGGUAACCCAGGGAACUGAAACAUCUAAGUACCUGGAGGAAGAGAAAGAAAAAUCGAUUUUCUUAGUAGCGGCGAGCGAAAGGGAAAGAGCCCAAACCGGAAACUUGUUUCCGGGGUUGUGGACAUAGCAUAAAAGUGGAGGCUAUUGUAACUGAAGAGAACUGGAAAGUUCCACCGUAGAAGGUAAUAGUCCUGUAAGUGAAACGAGAAGACCACGAGUUAUGAUCCAGAGUACCACGAGACACGUGAAACCUUGUGGGAAGCAGGGAGGACCACCUCCCAAGGCUAAAUACUACCUGAUGACCGAUAGUGAAGCAGUACCGUGAGGGAAAGGUGAAAAGAACCCCGGGAGGGGAGUGAAAUAGAACCUGAAACCGUGUGCCUACAACCGCUCAGAGCCCCUUAUGAGGGUGAUGAGGUGCUUUUUGUAGAACGAGCCAACGAGUUACGGUAUGUAGCAAGGUUAAGUACUUAAGGUACGGAGCCGAAGGGAAACCGAGUCUGAAUAGGGCGACUAGUUGCAUGCCGUAGACCCGAAACCGGGUGACCUAUCCAUGGCCAGGUUGAAGCGAGGGUAAAACCUCGUGGAGGACCGAACCACGUUGCUGUUGAAAAAGCAUGGGAUGAGCUGUGGAUAGCGGAGAAAUUCCAAUCGAACCCGGAGAUAGCUGGUUCUCUCCGAAAUAGCUUUAGGGCUAGCGUCGAGUAUGAGUAGUGGAGGUAGAGCACUGAAUGGGCUAGGGGGCAUAGCGCUUACCGAACCUUAUCAAACUCCGAAUGCCACAUACUUUGAGCUCGGCAGUCAGACUACGAAUGAUAAGAUCCGUGGUCAAAAGGGAAACAGCCCAGAUCGUCAGCUAAGGUCCCAAAGUGUAAGUUAAGUGGGAAAGGAUGUGAGAUUUCUAAGACAACUAGGAUGUUGGCUUAGAAGCAGCCAUUCAUUAAAAGAGUGCGUAAUAGCUCACUAGUCGAGAGAUCUUGCGCCGAAAAUGUAACGGGGCUAAACUUACC
rnacentral:rRNA from 1 species